rnacentral:lncRNA from 1 species
AAUUUUAAAAAGAAUUAAGAAACCUUUAUAAAGGUUAUUUCAAACGAUUCAAAACAGGAAAAUCGUUUUAAGUUAGAGAUUCUAUAUUAGCUGUUCCUAAUAACGUAAACGUCCGCUAACUUGCAGUUAUCCGGAUAGUUUGAAAAUCGUCUUUGACUAACUUUGGAAAAAAGUUGAUUUCUGCAAAGAAAAGCAAUUUUAGUGAUAUUUUAGUGUUUAUGCAAAACCAAUUUUUAGGCGACUUAGUUAGGGAUUUUAACUAAGUUCGCAAAGAAACAUGUAAAUAAGUAAACGAAAGGAAAAGGGGAGAAAAGCGGGGAAGUAUUGAUUUAGGCUUUCAAGCCCAAACCAUCGGCCCUGACCUAAUCUAGUUGAGUUUUCAACCCAUUUCACACGUCUUAGUCUAGUUUUCGAGCCUUUGGCUCGAAUCUCGCUCCACUUGCAUUAAAUUUACAACUUUGGCUUCGAGGCCCAAAUGAAAUAAAGGAAUAAAUAAAUAAACAAAUAAAUAAAAGACGACAAAAUAAAUGAACAAAUAAUAGAAAAGAAACGUUCUAAUCCCUCGGCCGCUUCAAAGAUGGGAUUUUAAUCCAUUAUUCCUCUUUCGACUUCUCGUAUCCAUAUGCCACAUGCUCAACUUUGGGCUUUCAUUCGGGCUUAACUCGGAAGGAUAGGCCUCAUUGGCC